rnacentral:lncRNA from 1 species
GGGGAGGGGCGAGAGAGGGCGAGGCCGCGGGCGCGCUCCCUGUGGCCGCCUGAUAGGGUGCGCGGCGUUGUGAGCACGCCCCGCGGGGAGGCGCUGCCUAGUGACUGCGCAGGCGCGGCACGCUGGAGUAGCCCCUUGACUUCCCCCCGUUUUCCUCCCCGGAUCGCCCUCCCGGCUGAGCGGAGGAUGCUUUUCGCCGCGCUUGACGCGUGGGGUGAGCUGAGGGUCUUGGGGCAGCCACCGGCCUUUGGGGUCACCGGCUUGGGUGGCCAUGUGUUCCUGUGUAGCCAUAGCCCGUAUAUGCUAGAAAAAGCAGCGCCCUGGGUCAUUUAAUAGCCUCUAAGCUAAAAUGAGGCGCAUUCAGGAGUGCCGUCCCUCGUGGCUAGUCAUGGCCUGGGAAACAUUACGGCUCCAUCCCGGUUUGCUUAAGGAGCAAGAGUUGGCGUUCAAGAUACCAGGAGUUUGAAAUGGAAAAAACUGGCCGCGCUGCUCAAGCUGGGAUGAUGUAAUCUGCCUUCUAGGGCGAGGAACAGAGGGCCGAGGAUCACCUGGGCGUUGGGAGCACCUCCCGCCAAGUGGAAGCCUCGGUGCUGUGCUCUACAUGGAGAACCAGCUCCAGAACUUUAGCCACCUUUCGGAGUAAGGACGGCCCAAGAGCACUAUACGGAAGCGGGACCCUUCCCUUCGGCCGGAAUUGAACCACCAGCGUCCCAAACUGAAGGAUAGUGAAGCCAACCCCAACCCCAAGCUGCCUCUUCCUUGACUAUCAUUUCUUAUGGCUAACACCCUUUCUUCCCUCUCCUCAGCCUCAGAGUCCGUCUGUGUCGCAACCAAGAUUCCUGACUGACACAUUUGUUUCUGGUAGAACUCCUACGGUGACCCCAACUUUGCCUGACAUUCCCACCACGUCCAUUUUUCCUGUCCCAUCUCACGCUGACGUUGCCACUUGGAGCUGCCAUACCUCUGCUCAAACCUGGCCCCUGUCUGCCAGUCUCUCUUCCAAGGCCACUGUAAUUUUGAGCCCUCUUCCCCGUGUCCCCACUGCCUCCCUCUAGCCCCGGUCCUAAGGCUCAGGCACCCUGGGCUCCCACCCAUCCAGAGGCCUGAGCAGCUGGGCAGUCAUCCUAACCCUGUUACGAUGUCAGCACUAGACUUAGUGCCGACAAGGGAGAGACUCCUCAGGUGCUAGAAGGGAGGGUCACUGGGAGGAAAGAGGGGCACAGGCAGAGAUGGGACGGUAGCAGAGACAUUGCCAAUUUUUAUAUUUUAUCUAGUAACACAGUUGUCAUUUACUGAGUUCCUGCAUUGUUCUGGCCGUAUAUAUGCAUGACCUUACACUAAUACUUUGAAGUUGAGACUAUCGUAAUCCCCACUUUCAGAGGAGGAAACAAGAGCUUUGGGAUUUGUUUUUUCCCCCCCUUUUCUUUUUUUCUGAAACAAGUGUUUAAAGAAGUAAAGAGGUAGCGAUCUCUUAUGACUCCGUGGAUUGGUUGGUGUUGUCACUUGUCACUGCAGUGGCUCAGGUCACAGCUAUGGUGCAGGUUCAGUCUCUGGCCUGGGAACUUCCACAAGCCACAGUUGUGCCGCCUUUCCGCCCCCCCCCCCCAAAAAAGGAAGAAGCAGUAAAGGCGGAUAGAAUGAGAUGAUGCCUGGGAUCUCUUUUCAAAUAAUUGGAGGAAUGGGAGAUGAGUAGGAUGUCGAUGAGACAAGAUUGCCUGUGGGCUGUUCAAGCUGGAUAACAAAUAUAUGGAAAUUCAUGAUACUGUUACAUCUAAUUGGUUUGUAUUUGGAUUUUUCCAUAAUUCAAAGUAUGUUUUUUCUUUUAAGUUAAGAAACUCAAUCAAACUCAUACCAAUAGUAUGUGAUAAAGUUAGGUUUUGACUGCAGGCCCUGCUUACUUCAGCACCUUCAGUUACUUACUCACUUAACCUCUACACUGCAUUG